rnacentral:tRNA from 1 species
GGCUUCAUAGCUCAGUUGGUUACAGCGUCGCACAGGUAUCGCGAGAUCACAGGCUCAAACCCCGUUGAAGUUC